rnacentral:rRNA from 1 species
GACGAACGCUGGCGGCGUGCUUAACACAUGCAAGUCGUACGGUAAGGCCCUUUCGGGGGUACACGAGUGGCGAACGGGUGAGUAACACGUGAGUAACCUGCCCACAACUUUGGGAUAACGCUAGGAAACUGGUGCUAAUACUGGAUAUGUGCUCCUGCUGCAUGGUGGGGGUUGGAAAGCUCCGGCGGUUGUGGAUGGACUCGCGGCCUAUCAGCUUGUUGGCGGGGUAGUGGCCUACCAAGGCGGCGACGGGUAGCCGGCCUAAGAGGGUGACCGGCCACAUUGGGACUGAGAUACGGCCCAGACUCCUACGGGAGGCAGCAGUGGGGAAGAUUGCACAAUGGGCGCAAGCCUGAUGCAGCAACGCCGCGUGCGGGAUGACGGCCUUCGGGUUGUAAACCGCUUUCAGCAGGGACGAAGCUUUUUGUGACGGUACCUGCAGAAGAAGCACCGGCUAACUACGUG